UAGGGAAUCUUCCGCAAUGGACGCAAGUCUGACGGAGCAACGCCGCGUGAGUGAAGAAGGAUUUCGGUUCGUAAAACUCUGUUGUUAGAGAAGAACAGCGCAUAGAGUAACUGUUAUGCGUGUGACGGUAUCUAACCAGAAAGCCACGGCUAACUACGUGCCAGCAGCCGCGGUAAUACGUAGGUGGCAAGCGCUGUCCGGAUUUAUUGGGCGUAAAGCGCGCGUAGGCGGUUUUUUAAGUCUGAUGUGAAAGCCCACGGCUCAACCGUGGAGGGUCAUUGGAAACUGGAAAACUUGAGUGCAGAAGAGGAAAGUGGAAUUCCAUGUGUAGCGGUGAAAUGCGCAGAGAUAUGGAGGAACACCAGUGGCGAAGGCGACUUUCUGGUCUGUAACUGACGCUGAUGUGCGAAAGCGUGGGGAUCAAACAGG
rnacentral:rRNA from 1 species